UGUUACACCAGGAAAAAUCUAUUAGAAUUGGGAACCACCUAUAUCGGUUCUUGGAUGAUGAUCCAACUGUAUCUCAUUCAUGGUUCAGACAGUUAUUCAGAAUAGGAAGGGAUAACUGAGUUGAGUUCAUGGAUUAGAGUAGGUCGAGUAAAUUAUGCUUUGGCAGAUGCUUUCUUUGACUUAAUGUCAAUUAAUUGACGUUUAUCAUAGGCUCAAUGUGCAUGUGCAGAUGCUUUUUAUUUUUUCAAUUGAUGCUUUAGCAGUUUCUAUUAUCUACUUUUUGGGGUAUAAAUCGUAUCUAUCAUUUCAAAAUACAUGUUCUUCAUGACAAUCUAUGGUAUUUAUAAAAUAAUUCAUGUUAGAGUAAUUUUUUUUCCUUUCCCUUCACUGCAGUCUCGGCAAAAAGCACUCGCAGACUUGCAGCAAAUGCACUGUGUACCUUGAGAAGCUGAGCGAUAUGCAGUGCCAACCUGAGUCACAGCUGAAGUUCAUUACAGAGGCCUGGCAACAGAUGAGUACUAAAAUUGACAUAUGCUGAUGGAUAUUAUUUGCUAGAACAUGAACAUGCCAAGUUGUUUGAGUACUUGCAAGGUAUGUCAUUUUCUCAAGCCCGAAGAGUAAUUUCUGUUUCUGCAGGUGAAGCUGAGUCUGGGUUAGAACGGCUUCAUCAAUGUCCAGAAGAUGAACUACAAGAUUUCGCACAAAAGAUUUCAAUGAGUUUCGCACAAAACUUGUUGGAUUGACCAGGUUACGUUCCACUAAAGAUAUUACACUACUUUUCUAAUUGGAUAAAUUGACUCAGGUUACAAUGAUAUAGCUUUUCAGUUUAUUAAUACUAACAUAUUAGUUUUGCUAAGUGUGAAUGCCAUAAGUGAAGUUUUAUGGAAAUGAUGAAUGGGCCAAUCUAAAAUACCAAAUUUCAGCUGAUGAAUGAACUCUUAUAUGACUGCUACUGCAUAUACUCAUCUUUUAUUUUGUUGGGUUUUAUUUUUAUUUCAUUUUUUGUGGUGAACUGCAAUGUUGGUUUCGCAAAGAACUGAACUUUAGCUUAUCUAUAGGUCUAUACGAAUGUAGUUUUUCUCUUUUUUUUGUCUCAAGUAUUUGGUUGGUUUUAUUUAACAAUCUUUUGGAAUAUAGAGAAUCUUUGCACCACCAUCUUAUUCCUGCAUUUUCUGAAAAUUUGGCAUUGAGAUGUUAGGCAAAGGUGUCUCAUGGGAACCACAGAUUGCUCAAAACUAUCUCAAAGAAGUGGAGAUUUGUUAUGUAGCUUAGAGUAUGCCAACUAUGAAGCUAAGAAAAAUGGUGCGGAAAUUAGCUGUUUGUUAUUGACGAGGUAUAAUCCAAUAGCUUAUAAGUAUGCUCCUAUAUUUGACACUUCAAAUAUGUCUAGAACCGAUGUUACUAUUACUACUUUCAUUUUUACAGAAGGAAGGGUUUUUCAUUCUUCAUUUCUUGCUAUAUUACCUUGGGUUGUGCAAACUAUUCUUUAUAGGAGACCCCUUCAAAUAUAUUAGUUAAUUCUUGCUAAUAUUUGUGCAAACUGUUUUUGUUAUGUUGAA